GAUGAAAGAGUUGAUUUUCGAAUUCUUUUUUUUUGUUUGUUUUGUUUUGUUUUGGUUCACGUUUUAAUCGAAAAUCAUUUAAGAACAAAACGCAAAAUCCUACGCAAUAGUUAUGCAAUAAUUCAUUGAAAUGUGGAUAUUAUUAUAUUCAUCAGAAAAAAAGUUUUAUCAAAUCAACCGAACACACAGUUUAUCUGAUCACCGGAAAUCCUGAAACAACGUUUAUCAAUCAAUUUGAUAUCUUUGUCAUUGACAACGAUUAUUAUCGAUUUUGUUUUUUUUCUGGGCAUCCAAAUGUUCGACACAACAGCCAUUAUUUUUUUUUUGAUUAUUAUCAAACGUAUGUUGUAUGUUAUGGAACGACGAAAUACAAUCAAGAUC